rnacentral:rRNA from 1 species
CACCUACGGGGGGCAGCAGUGGGGAAUAUUGCACAAUGGGGGGAACCCUGAUGCAGCGACGCCGCGUGAGUGAAGAAGUAUUUCGGUAUGUAAAGCUCUAUCAGCAGGGAAGAUAAUGACGGUACCUGACUAAGAAGCCCCGGCUAACUACGUGCCAGCAGCCGCGGUAAUACGAAGGGGGCAAGCGUUAUCCGGAUUUACUGGGUGUAAAGGGAGCGUAGGGGGCAUGGUAAGC